rnacentral:sRNA from 1 species
AAGCUCCUAAUGUUGUGUUAAGUGUUGGCAGAUAUCUGGACCCCGCCCUAGAGGUCCAGUACUUGAACCCCGAACUUCCGGUCCCCCCCGUGCGAAGUUCGGGGUUUUUUUUGCCCGCAA